UACGUAGGUGACAAGCGUUGUCCGGAUUUACUGGGCGUAAAGAGCGCGCAGGCGGUCGAUCAAGUCGAGUGUGAAAGCCCCCGGCUCAACUGGGGAGGGUCAUUCGAUACUGAUCGACUCGAAGGCAGGAGAGGGUAGUGGAAUUCCCGGUGUAGUGGUGAAAUGCGCAGAUAUCAGGAGGAACACCGAUGGCGAAGGCAGGUCUCUGGGCAUUAGCUGACGCUGAGGAGCGAAAGCAUGGGGAGCGAACAGG
rnacentral:rRNA from 1 species